rnacentral:rRNA from 1 species
AGUGAACGCUGGCGGUAGGCCUAACACAUGCAAGUCGAACGGCAGCACAGCAAGAGCUUGCUCUUACGGGUGGCGAGUGGCGGACGGGUGAGGAAUACAUCGGAAUCUACUUUUUCGUGGGGGAUAACGUAGGGAAACUUACGCUAAUACCGCAUACGACCUACGGGUGAAAGCAGGGGAUCUUCGGACCUUGCGCGAUUGAAUGGGCCGAUGUCGGAUUAGCUAGUUGGCGGGGUAAAGGCCCACCAAGGCGACGAUCCGUAGCUGGUCUGAGAGGAUGAUCAGCCACACUGGAACUGAGACACGGUCCAGACUCCUACGGGAGGCAGCAGUGGGGAAUAUUGGACAAUGGGCGCAAGCCUGAUCCAGCCAUACCGCGUGGGUGAAGAAGGCCUUCGGGUUGUAAAGCCCUUUUGUUGGGAAAGAAAAGCAGCAGGUUAAUACCCCGCUGUUCUGACGGUACCCAAAGAAUAAGCACCGGCUAACUUCGUG